UACAUACUCCUUCCGUUUCAAAAUUCUUGUCUUAAAUUUAUCUAGAUAUGGAUGUAUCUAUUCAUAUUUUAGUGUUAGAUACAUCCGUAUGUAUGACAAAUCUAAGACUAGAAUUUUGGAACGGAGGGAGUACUUU
rfam:Triticum aestivum genome assembly, contig: Triticum_aestivum_CS42_TGACv1_scaffold_130081_2BL